GGGAUUGUGGCUCAGUGGUAGAGCGCUUUCCUUGCAUGUGUGAGGCACUGGGUUCGAUUCUCAGCAUCACA
rnacentral:tRNA from 1 species